rnacentral:rRNA from 1 species
AACGAACGCUGGCGGCAGGCUUAACACAUGCAAGUCGAACGCACCCUUCGGGGUGAGUGGCAGACGGGUGAGUAACGCGUGGGAACGUGCCCAUCGGUUCGGAAUAACCCAGGGAAACUUGGGCUAAUACCGGAUACGACCUUUGGUGAAAGAUUGAUUCGCCGAUGGAUCGGCCCGCGUCUGAUUAGCUAGUUGGUGGGGUAACGGCUCACCAAGGCGACGAUCAGUAGCUGGUCUGAGAGGAUGAUCAGCCACACUGGGACUGAGACACGGCCCAGACUCCUACGGGAGGCAGCAGUGGGGAAUAUUGGACAAUGGGCGCAAGCCUGAUCCAGCCAUGCCGCGUGAGUGAUGACGGCCCUAGGGUUGUAAAGCUCUUUCGCACGCGACGAUAAUGACGGUAGCGUGAGAAGAAGCCCCGGCUAACUACGUGCCAGCCGCCGCGGUAA